rnacentral:rRNA from 1 species
CCUACGGGUGGCAGCAGUGAGGAAUAUUGGUCAAUGGACGAAAGUCUGAACCAGCCAAGCAGCGUGCAGGAUGACUGCCCUAUGAGUUGUAAACUUCUUUUAUAUGGGAAUAAACCAGGGUAUGCAUACCCUCUUGUAUGUACCAUAUGAAUAAGGAUCGGCUAACUCCGUGCCAGCAGCCGCGGUAAUACGGAGGAUCCGAGCGUUAUCCGGAUUUAUUGGGUUUAAAGGGAGCGUAGGGGGAUUGUUAAGUCAGUUGUGAAAGUUCGGGGCUCAACUCUAAAAUUGCAGUUGAAACUGGCAGUCUAGAGAUCAGAAGAGGUAGGCGGAAUUUGUGGUGUAGCGGUGAAAUGCUUAGAUAUCACGAAGAACACCGAUUGCGAAGGCAGCUUACUGGACUGAAACUGACACUGAUGCACGAAAGCGUGGGGAGCAAACAGGAUUAGAUACCCCAGUAGUC